AACGAACGCUGGCGGCAUGCCUAACACAUGCAAGUCGAGCGAGGACUUCGGGUCUAGCGGCGGACGGGUGUGUAACGCGUGGGAAUGUUCCCUUCUCUACGGAAUAGCUCUGGGAAACUGGGAGUAAUACCGUAUACGCCCUAUUGGGGAAAGAUUUAUCGGAGCAGGAUCAGCCCGCGUUGGAUUAGGUAGUUGGUGGGGUAAUGGCCUACCAAGCCGACGAUCCAUAGCUGGUUUGAGAGGAUGAUCAGCCACACUGGGACUGAGACACGGCCCAGACUCCUACGGGAGGGAGCAGUGGGGAAUCUUAGAAAAUGGGGGCAACCCUGAUCGAGCCAUGCCGCGUGAGUGAUGAAGGCCUUAGGGUUGUAAAGCUCUUUCAGCUGGGAAGAUAAUGACGGUACCAGCAGAAGAAGCCACGGCUAACUCCGUG
rnacentral:rRNA from 1 species